GAGGGUAUAGCUCAGUGGUAGAGUGUGUACUUAGCAUGCAUGAGGUCCUGGGUUCAAUCCCCAGGUCUCUUU
rnacentral:tRNA from 1 species